GACAAGGAGACCCACCCUGUGAAUCAGCUGUAUCUGAGAUCUGGAUGAGCUGAGACACAAAACCUACUGAAGUAUCGAGAAUAAACAGCUUUCCAUCUUCAAAACACAUAAAAUGGGAAAUGAUAACUCUGGUGAACAUAGAGAACGUAGAAGGGCUGAAGAAGCUGGGGAGGGAAAAAGGAGAAUGGAAUUACAGAGAGCGAGACAGGAGCAAACAGCAGCGGAGGAAUGAUGCAGAAUCCGAACCGAAAAACAAGCACUCCAGGAACAAUACAAUAGAGUUCAAAAUGAAAGAAAUAUACAGAGAUUGAGAGAAGAAGAGAAGAAGAAAAUCGACAGCGAGAACAGAUUUAAAGAGGAAGAAGAAAGGAAAAGAAUUAACAUAGAGAAGCAAAAUGCACAGAAAGAAAACACUAACAAGCCAGUUAGUUAAACCAUUUCUAUGGUUUAUUAACAGGAUAUAUUUUUAAUUUCUAUUCAUCAUCCAGAAAGAUAGAUGCACAUCACCUAAAACAUUGUGAAGAUUUUAUUUUUCUUCUUCCGUAUGUCUACUGUAAAGAACUUUGUAAACUUUUGUUUUAAAAAAUAAAGUUCUACAUCUUAUUUUCACCACCAAAGAAGAGUAUGAAUUUGUUUUUGUUUUUUUUGUUUUUUUACAGGCAUGAGAAAUUAUCAACAUAUUUGUUUUGCCAUUGACCUAGUAAUUGAUCCUGAAAUACACUUUAAAAUCAUAAAAUACAGUUAUGUUUU
ensembl:lncRNA